GGAGGCUACACAUGCAGUCGAGCGAGAACUUCGGUUCUAGCGGCGGACGGGUUAGUAACGCGUGGGAACGUGCCCUUCACUACGGAAUAGUCCCGGGAAACUGGGUUUAAUACCGUAUACGCCCUUCGGGGGAAAGAAUUUCGGUGAAGGAUCGGCCCGCGUUAGAUUAGAUAGUUGGUGGGGUAACGGCCUACCAAGUCUACGAUCUAUAGCUGGUUUUAGAGGAUGAUCAGCAACACUGGGACUGAGACACGGCCCAGACUCCUACGGGAGGCAGCAGUGGGGAAUCUUAGACAAUGGGCGCAAGCCUGAUCUAGCCAUGCCGCGUGAGUGAUGAAGGCCUUAGGGUCGUAAAGCUCUUUCGCCAGGGAUGAUAAUGACAGUACCUGGUAAAGAAACCCCGGCUAACUCCGUGCCAGCAGCCGCGGUAAUACGGAGGGGGUUAGCGUUGUUCGGAAUUACUGGGCGUAAAGCGCGCGUAGGCGGAUUGGAAAGUUGGGGGUGAAAUCCCAGGGCUCAACCCUGGAACUGCCUCCAAAACUAUCAGUCUAGAGUUCGAGAGAGGUGAGUGGAACUCCGAGUGUAGAGGUGAAAUUCGUAGAUAUUCGGAAGAACACCAGUGGCGAAGGCGGCUCACUGGCUCGAUACUGACGCUGAGGUGCGAAAGUGUGGGGAGCAAACAGGAUUAGAUACCCUGGUAGUCCACACCG
rnacentral:rRNA from 1 species